rnacentral:rRNA from 1 species
UACGUAGGGGGCAAGCGUUGUCCGGAUUUACUGGGCGUAAAGGGCUCGUAGGCGGCCAACUAAGUCAGACGUGAAAUCCCUCAGCUUAACUGGGGAACUGCGUCUGAUACUGGAUGGCUUGAGUUUGGGAGAGGGAUGCGGAAUUCCAGGUGUAGCGGUGAAAUGCGUAGAUAUCUGGAGGAACACCGGUGGCGAAGGCGGCAUCCUGGACCAACACUGACACUGAGGAGCGAAAGCCAGGGGAGCAAACGGG